GGAAUGCAUCGGGAAAGAGGUAAGGGUGAGGUGGCAGUCUCCAGCUGAAGGUCCUAGAAUAACAAACCAAUAAAAAAUCUAAGGUACACACAGCUUUCACCAGUGUACACCGACCAGACUUGUCCAGUAUACAUUAGAAUAAAUCAAUGGGAAUUGCAGAGAAUACAUUUACAAUGUGAAUGCGGGAAGAACAUAUAACAAAUGCUGAUAGUAUUAGAUGUAUACAGGAUUGCAGGAGUUCAUAUGAGGAUACAAAAAAAUGGGCUCAUGGGUAGAGCAGAGAAAUUAAGCAAAAUCUAUUGUUAAUUUAUGCUCCCAAGAUGCGUUUUGCAAAAUUCGCAAAAGAUGUAAAAGUUUCAAUGCCGCGAUCAUAGAAUCCUUGAAAUUACACCACUGUUUUACAGCAGGAUGCUGGCGGCAAAUCUCUUCUGCAUGG